UACGUAGGGUGCGAGCGUUAAUCGGAAUUACUGGGCGUAAAGCGUGCGCAGGCGGCUUUGCAAGACAGAUGUGAAAUCCCCGGGCUCAACCUGGGAACUGCAUUUGUGACUGCAAGGCUGGAGUGCGGCAGAGGGGGAUGGAAUUCCGCGUGUAGCAGUGAAAUGCGUAGAUAUGCGGAGGAACACCAAUGGCGAAGGCAAUCCCCUGGGCCUGUACUGACGCUCAUGCACGAAAGCGUGGGGAGCAAACAGG
rnacentral:rRNA from 1 species